UUUUUUUUUUCUGUGAACAACUUUUCUACCAGAUAUUAUCGUUGAUCCACUUUGAUUUCGAGUAAAAUUAAUUUCGGGUGUUUAUCGUCAAUCGUUAUGGAAUUUCAUCUUAUUUACGAUAUUUCCGAAACCGUACACCUUUAACACUUCAUCGACUUUUGAUUUUCAAAUAACCAUACCCCGUGUUUACACCAAAAUUGAAAGCAGAACGUUAAUCCAAACGUUUC